AUUGAACGCUGGCGGCAGGCCUAACACAUGCAAGUCGAGCGGAGCGGCGGACGGGUGAGUAAUGCCUAGGAAUCUGCCUGUUGGUGGUGGAUAGCGUCCGGAAACGGGCGCUACUACCGCAUCCUCUCAGAUGAGCCUAGGUCGGAGUAGCUAGUUGGUGGGGUAAAGGCAUACCAAGGCGACGCUCGGGAACUGGUCUGAGAGGAUGAUCAGCCACACUGGAACUGAGACACGGUCCAGACUCCUACGGGAGGCAGCAGUGGGGAAUAUUGGACAAUGGGCGAAAGCCUGAUCCAGCCAUGCCGCGUGUGUGAAGAAGGUCUUCGGAUUGUAAAGCACUUUAAGCGGGGAGGCGUUACCAACAGAAUAAGCACCGGCUAACUUCGUGCCAGCAGCCGCGGUAAUUC
rnacentral:rRNA from 1 species